ACUUGAGCCUUCAGAUUCCUGAACCACUUUCUACCUUGAUGUUCAUUUGAAAAGGGAAAAAUUGCCAUUAUCAGAGAGCUGAAGGGGAGAAAAAUAUACUGGAAUUGCACAGAUAAACACUGUGAGGGCUUCUUGGAGAGAAGAAAAAUACUGCGCUAGACAAACUAAAUUUCAGUGAAAAAUAAUUGACUGAGGAAAGUGGUGAGGAUCCUGCAACAACAUACUGCAUUAAUGGCUUCCUCUCACCUCAAAAUGCAACUUCAAUUUCUAGCGAUACAAGAGCUCAAGAAAAUACUAUGAAUAAAAUAAAAAGGAGGCCUCUGUUUCACUGAAAACGUCUCCCUCAUGAAGAGAUAUCAUUACACCAAUUUUGAGUUUUAUUAUUCUCAUUCAUGUCUUCAUAUAUGUAUAGAAUGUGCAUAUCCUAUUAUAUCUCAGUACAAAAUUGUCAAAAUUGAAUAUAUUAAUUGCAAAAUUCUCUAUAUUCUUACACAAGCCUUCCUUUUCACUAAAUUUUUGUUAGAUUGAUCCUUGUUAAUAAUGUAGUGCUAAUGCAUUGGUAAUCACUGUUGAAUUCUAUUCGAUUUUAUGAGUAGAUAGCACCAUAUGCAUUUCCCUGUGGAUGAAUGUUAUUAUGCAAAGAGUGAUUAGACACUGUGUGUGUCCCUAAUUUUAAAAACAAAUGAACAGUUUAUACUGGUUGAAUUAAUUAGAGCUAGAUAAUUUAUGUUAUUGUUAAUGUUAGUCAUCAUGUUUUUGAAUGAAAUCAAUAUCUUACAUAAACCUAGACUAUGAUAAUGAGUGUAUAUAUGAAAACUCAUGGCAAAAUUCAACAUUUCAUAGAUUUUCUCGUAUAUAUAGUGUUCAGUUUUAUAUUUAAGUCUAAAAUUCAUUUUGAAUUAAUUUUUGUAUAAAGAAAGUCAUAAAUUAAUCUUUUUGUUUGUGGAUAUUUGUUUCACCACCAUC
rnacentral:lncRNA from 10 species